CACGUAGGUGGCUUGGUAAGUCGGAUGUGAAAGCCCCGGGCUCAACCUGGGAACGGCAUUCGAUACUGCUGAGCUAGAGUACGAAAGAGGGGGUGGAAUUCCAGGUGUAGCGGUGAAAUGCGUAGAGAUCUGGAGGAACACCGGUGGCGAAGGCGGCCCCCCUCGGUUCGAUACUGACGCUGAGGUGCGAAAGCGUGGGGAGGCAAAACA
rnacentral:rRNA from 1 species